GAGCAUGUUUUUCUGUUGUAAAUAAUUGAAAUAUUUUAUAAUUUGUUAUCUGUAGAAUUAACUACCAAUUUGUUUGUUUACUUGAUUGGUAUUAGAGCUUGUAUCAAACGUGUAGUGUAACAUGAGUUGAUGGUUGCCAUUUCUUGCAAUGUUGACAGUUGUGGAUGAUAUGUAGUCUGAAAAUUCUAUUUCUUCAUCCCAUUACGUAUUUUCCAAUACUGGAAGUGGUUUACUAAGAUAAAAUCCUCUCACCAUCCACAUAUCAUUAGCUUGGUUAUUUGGUUUCUGAAUCAUAGGUAAACUAGUGCACGCACAAAUACCCAACUUAGUCUUGAAACUAUGACCCUUAGGAUAAUACAUUGUUCAUAUGUAUAUCAUAGUUGUAAGCUUGUGUUUCAAGGCUUAUACACUUGAUCCUAGCCUUCUUGAGUGUAUCAAUAUGUGACUCAGUGAUUCCUUGGAGACAUGCUCAUGGAGGAAAUUCAGGUGUCUUAAGCAUCCCACUGUUAGUAUUUUGGCUCAUUUAGAGCCUAUAGUGAAAAACUUAACCCUAGCUUCCAGAAAAGAAUACAAUAAACCACUUAACAUUUUCAUUUUAAAGUUAGGAUAAGCUUAUUUAGUCCUCAAUGUUUGAGCUGGCCUCCUGCUAUUAACAUUUUCAGUUACUUUGUGGCAUAGUUUAGAUCAAAAGUUAAUGCUGUCAACUCUUUCAACCAACUUUCAAGGCAGAUGCUUCUGUUUCUAAUUCUAACAAAGUUGAGCAUACAUUAUUUGCAAUUGCUCCAAUCAAUAUGAAAUGAAGUUAAGAAACAGCAGAGAAAUCCAAGGAUCGAUGGUUAGAUUUGAACAGCCAACCUAUUCCAUUACUCAUAUGGUUAAAAAUUUGUGUCUUACUGCAAACUGUUCAGAAAAGUUCCACCUUCUGAGGAGGGAAGAGAAGAUGCCAAAGAGUUGGUGAACCAUCCUCUGCCUAUGGAUUGAGACAAGUGACAACGUCGGACGGAGAGAUGUUUUCAGGUAUUUACUUUGAGCUGGGUGGUCUUCCAUUUCUAUUUGUUAACCUGAGGACCUUGGACGUUCAUACUGGUUUCAACAAAAUUGAAAUCCCAGCUGGAAUAGUAUGCAUGCCUACUCAAGCAUACUCCCUUACUUGAAAUUCUUCUUCUGCUGUCAGGAAGUGAUAAUAUUAACACUCAUAAACUGAAGGAAACUGUUUCGGUAGCAAAUAAUGCAUGUUGGGCCAUUGGGGAAUUAGCGGUUAAGCAAAAUACGACGUUGCUAUAUCAACGGCAUGUGCUGGACUUGAUUCUAUUGUAGUGGAAACAACCAGUGCAGCCCAAAGAUGUGUUGAGCUACUCCGGAGGGAGAAUCUUGGUGUACUCCGGAGGGAGAAUCUUGGUGUUGCAACUUUCAUGAUAUUGAUUUUUUCAGCUAUACAAUUCAAGGGUCGUCUUCCAUCUCCAUUUUUGAACCAGAGGACCUUGGAAGUUCUUACUGGUUUGAACAAAAGUGAAAUCCCUGGAGUAGUUUGCUAACUCAGAAAUGCUCCCUUACUUCACGCUCUCUAUUGAUUAAGUUGUUUUUGGUUCUCUUAAUGUUCAACCAUGAGAAGGAGACAAAAGAAGAAUUGAUUGGUUAUAAUCAGAGUUGGUUGACAAUGCAAAUUAAUAUUGAAAACAGAAGU